GAUGAACGCUGGCGGCGUGCCUAAUACAUGCAAGUCGAGCGAACGGACGAGAAGCUUGCUUCUCUGAUGUUAGCGGCGGACGGGUGAGUAACACGUGGAUAACCUACCUAUAAGACUGGGAUAACUUCGGGAAACCGGAGCUAAUACCGGAUGAUAUUUUGAACCGCAUGGUUCAAAAGUGAAAGACGGUCUUGCUGUCACUUAUAGAUGGAUCCGCGCUGCAUUAGCUAGUUGGUAAGGUAACGGCUUACCAAGGCAACGAUGCAUAGCCGACCUGAGAGGGUGAUCGGCCACACUGGAACUGAGACACGGUCCAGACUCCUACGGGAGGCAGCAGUAGGGAAUCUUCCGCAAUGGGCGAAAGCCUGACGGAGCAACGCCGCGUGAGUGAUGAAGGUCUUCGGAUCGUAAAACUCUGUUAUUAGGGAAGAACAUAUGUGUAAGUAACUGUGCACAUCUUGACGGUACCUAAUCAGAAAGCACGGCUAACUACGUG
rnacentral:rRNA from 1 species